GACGAACGCUGGCGGCGCGCUUAACACAUGCAAGUCGAGCGAAGCGGCGGCCGGGUGAGUAACACGUGAGUAACCUGCCUUAGACAUGGGGAUAGCCUCGGGAAACCGGGAUUAAUACCAAAUGGUCUAAGAUGGACUCGUGUCCCAUUGGCUAGUUGGUGAGUUAACGGACCACCAAGGCGACUGUGGGUGGCCGGGCUGGGAGGGUAAUGUGUCAAAUGGGAACUGAGAAACGGUCCAAACUCUACGGGAGGCAGCAGUUGAGAAUAUAGCACAUUGUAGAGAACGCUGAUGCAGCGACUCCGCGUGAAGUAGGAAGGCUUUCGAGUCGUAAAGUGCUUUUAUAUGAGAAGCGGUACCAUAAGAAAAAGCCCCGGCUAACUACGUGCCAGCCGCCGCGGUAAUG
rnacentral:rRNA from 1 species